CGCGUAGGCGGUUUGCUAAAGUCAGAUGUGAAAUCCCCGGGCUUAACCUGGGAACUGCAUUUGAGACUGGUAGGCUAGAAUGUGGUAGAGGUGAGUGGAAUUCCAGGUGUAGCGGUGAAAUGCGUAGAGAUCUGGAGGAACAUCAGUGGCGAAGGCGACUCACUGGGCCAUUAUUGACGCUGAGGUGCGAAAGCGUGGGUAGCAAACA
rnacentral:rRNA from 1 species